AGUGGGUCGCCCAGCCAGCACAUGAUCAACAAUUAUUCUUCGUGGUAUUUUUCUUCACUGCAUCCAUCUAUUGAGGCUGUGCUGUACUGAAGUUGAGUGCUACUGACAUCAAGGCAGAUGGAGAACAUAUGCACAGGGCUGCGUUGUACUGGAAAUGUGGUGGUUCAUUUGAGUAAAUGGAAAUGGCUAGACAUGAAAGCACAGAACUGAACUGCAAAAGAAGAUGUUCUGUUUUCCACAUGAGGAUUCAUGGGUCAGCUCAGGCUUGAUUUUGCUGACUGCUGUGCUUCUAAAAGACC
rnacentral:lncRNA from 1 species